rnacentral:rRNA from 1 species
CGUAAUACAAUCUGCCUAUAACUGGAGGAUAGCCCGGAGAAAUUCGGAUUAAUACUCCAUAACAUAGUGGUGUGGCAUCACAUUAUUAUUAAAGCUCCGGCGGUUAUAGAUGAGUAUGCGGAUGAUUAGCUAGUUGGUGAGGUAAUGGCUCACCAAGGCUACGAUCAAUAGGGGUACUGAGAGGUUAAACCCCCACACUGGUACUGAGACACGGACCAG